UUCUCCUCAUUCGUUUCAGUAUCAUUUCUCUUUUGAGUUUGGCAGCGGCUCUACAUCCUUUACGUUGCUAGUAUUGCUGCACAGGUUUCGGUUCGUGUUUCAGCUUGUCACCUGUUUAGUGUAUGAGAUAAAUUUUUACGGUGUGCUUUGGAAGAGUGGGAUAUAUUUUACUGUUUCAUUAUAGUUACCAGUAAGAUAUUUGAUCACUUAGAGAUACAUCGUAGUUUGGAUUGCAGAACUUCAACUUUAGGGCGACGUGUUGCUAUAAAUGACCAGCACAGGAACUGCACGCACAUUUCCAUGAACCGAGGGUACAGAAGUACCAGACAAGAAGAUUAAAGGCAGCUUAGCAUGAAACAAUAAGUUAGAGUAACCACAAAGGUGCGGAGUAUCAGAAAGAAAAGAGAACACUCUGCUUACAAAGUAGC